UAGAAAUUGGGACACCCAUGAUGUCUUAGAGGAUUGGGAAAAGAACUGUGGUCAUCCACCUAUCUAAGCACCGUGAACAAAUUAGCUACAGGAUCAGUGCACCCUGCCUUAAAAAGCCACCUUCAGCGAAAUGCUUUUGAAUGGAGAAGCAUCUGAAAGUUGAUGAUAUCAGAGAAGCUUCCUGCUGGUCUGGAAAUAAUACAUACAAAGGACAUUAAAUGGUAGUGAAUGAGUAAUGCUAACGGCUAGAAAAAGUUGUAGAGAAGCAAAGAGAAGCCUGAGAGCUGAGGCCACCGCAGAGGAGCAGCCCACCAUUGCUGGGUAAUCGAUUUUGGAAACAGGGCCGAGAAAUAGCAAUCUGAUUAUCUGGCAAAGAUAAAGAGGCUGUGUUACCUUAGCCCAACAGAGGUCUAUAUCCUGAAAUCAUAAAAGUUCAGAAUAUCAGAAUAUGAGCCCAGUGUUCAGGUCAAGAGAACAAGAGCCUUGGAGUCAGACACACUUGAAUAAAAAUUGAAAUUCAUUCACUUA